UACGUAGGGGGCAAGCGUUGUCCGGAUUUAUUGGGCGUAAAGAGCGUGUAGGCGGUUUGGUAGGUCCGUUGUGAAAACUCGAGGCUCAACCUCGAGACGCCGAUGGAAACCAUCAGACUAGAGUCCGGAAGAGGAGAGUGGAAUUCCUGGUGUAGCGGUGAAAUGCGCAGAUAUCAGGAGGAACACCGGUGGCGAAGGCGGGUCUCUGGGCCGUAACUGACGCUGAGGAGCGAAAGCGUGGGGAGCGAACAGG
rnacentral:rRNA from 1 species